AAGAAAUCGGAACAGAACUCACGAAAAGAAAGGAAACCUCAGUGCACACCAAUCCUCAUCUCUCACGUCCUGGGUCAUCGUCUUCCUCCUCGGUCACGACACGGAGCCUAUAUACAGUGAAAAAAUCGGCUCCUUACCCCUCCUCCUCGCGAGAGUGAAGAACCUUGCCCGUUACUCCACGGAACCUACCUGAUGCCGCAACGGCUGGCACAAUCUCUCGGCCACAACACCGUAGCCCUCUUUGCGCCUGAGGCUCCUUCGAGCGAUUUCUUCCCUGCGUGUGGUAGCUCGAGAUGGAUUCGUCACCGUUGGCUAUACCCGCCCGUGCACCCACCCCGGCCGCCUUUCACAUCGCCGUUCUGCCACAAAGCUAGCAGCAUCGCCGCAGCCAGAGCCGGCACAAGCAAACUCGCCGUGGGAUGAGAGGGGAAGGAGGAGAAGGGGAAACUAUGGUGCGAUGGGUCGUAGAAGACUCCGCGGAGGCGACGGCCGCGGCCGCCGAGCUCUCGGACUUCCAGCAGCAGCACACUAUCCCCAAACCGAUGAGAUCCACAUCAACGGUACUUAGCCCUCCAUUGCAACAUCGAAUAACAACGGAGACAGCACACCCGUCGAGAUCCACCAGGAGGUGGGCGCCUGCAUGCCAGAGAUGAUCUUCGGCCGUCAAGAAAUACACGCAGGUGAGUUUGGUUGCCAACGACACUAGAAUUCAGAAUCUGCCCAUACCACCAUAUUGGAGUGCAAGACGGCAGUUCUCUUUUGACCAUGACUGGUAUCUUGAUAGUAGUUGGAGUGGAGUAUCUGGACUAUUUAACUGGGCAAAGCAGAUAAAAAUACUGCAGAAUCAGUCCACAAAAAUUCGCCUAUAUGAACUGCUGAGGAGAAGUUCCGCCACAGAAGGUCACACCCAUCGCCGGUCAGUACAUGGUGCUUUGUGCUGAAGGAGCCGAUCCGAGAAAGGUUUUAAUCGCGUGCACAUGGUGCUUUGUGGCUACUUGCUCUCGUCAUACUAAAGCAAUGGUUCAAAUCUGAUCAAGGUUAUUUCUUGCUUUGACUCGAUGAGUCCCGAGUUUCUUAUGCCAUAAUUAAACAAUUAUCUCUUCUCAAGUGCUUAUUCAUGGAAUAGGAGUAGUUCAGCACAAUCUUAAAGUGAGCCUAUUUAGGACUUAGGAUUUCUUUGGCCACUUUUGGUAGAUAUAUUAGUUAAGGAGUUCGUUUUGUUCUGCCCUUAUUUUACCUCAUUAAAGUUUCAAGUAGUAUUUGUUGUAGACAAAAUAAGCUUGUUUAUAAAAACAUUCAUGGCAUGCAUACCUGUAUGAGUUAUUUAAAAGGCAAACCCAUCUGAUUUUUUUUACACUUCAAACUGAUUUAUAUGCAUGCAGCUAUUGGCCGAGAGCAUCAUUUUAGUUUUACUGAACUGUCAAAUAAUGUCUGUUCUCUUAUAACCCCAAGCCUGAUCCCAAGGUUGUGAAUGCAUGUGCUUCUUAAUAUGAGUCUAAAAAGAAGUGCCUAUUAGAGGGUGUGCUUUUUUGCAAAAAAAAUUGAUAUAAAGGGUGUGCUAAAUGUGAACAUAAGUAACUUGGAAAAUACCUAUGUUUCUUAAUACAUCUCUCUAUUUUGCAUUGAAUUUCAAAUCUAUUAUUUUUACAGUUUUGCUAAAGCACAUCUAGAUGUAUCCUGCAAAAAAAAAUCUAGAUGUAUCCCGCAAAAAAAGCACAUCUAGAUGUGCUCUAAGUAUUGUACAUCUAAUCUAAGUCCUAUGCCAUUGAUUUUAUGCUAAGAUUCGUGCAAGCAUUUUCUUUUGUUUUCUUUUUCUUUUCUUUCUAGAUUGAUUGAGUCAAUUAGACACGCGAUAACUAGGGCACAUCUAAACAGACUUAAUUUGUUGAGUUGUAAAAUUUAGGUUGACUUCUUAUUACCAAUGGUUCCAGUUUCUUAUUUCUGACUGACACAGGGAGGACGCUUAGAUGGUUUUUAAUUUUACAAUAUUUAUUUUUUGUAUUUCUCAGCGUCUACACAGGCGACCCACAUUAUAGAUGAUGUUAGCCUGCUGCCAUUGUCGUUCCUCUGUAGACACACGCACAUUUUUCCCGGUGAAGAGAAUACCCCAAAUCAUCAACCCUGAUUAUGUGUCAUGUUUUUUGCAAGACUGAAGCUGACAAAUUCGGUUCUAGAUGUAAAUGAUGACUGAUUUAAUGUGGCGGUUGUGUUGUUGAAGCUCAUAUGAUGGAGCGUUUAUGCACAACUGAAGUGGCACAUUCACUUCUGCACACGUAUCGAACAGCUUCCAAAACUUCUGAAAGCAAAGAGCUGGAGAACCAUCCUCUAGGCUCUUCUUUACCACCAUAGAUUAUUUUGCUUCCAAAACCAACAAUAAACGCAGCAAGUUUUAAGUGCAAUUUCACAUCCAGAUGUUGUUAUUCAGGUUGUCAUGAUACUAUAUCAGCUUUAAAGUUUAUUUUUACUCGCAAGUAGUCCAUAACUAUGUGAACCUGAACACUCAAAUCGCUGCUGGGGGAGGAUUUCCACAGUAUCUCUAGGGUGGUUAACCUGUUUGGAAUUAUUUGGAACUGAACUCCCUGGAUUGACGUCAAGCUUGGCGACCACAUAAUACAUUAUCUCGAGGUAUAAUAGCACUUGAUUCUCUAACAAUCGCUGAUGCAUAAAUUGCAGCAGGGUGAACCCAAAGGCCUCUCUUGUGAAUCACAUUGCUUCCAAUGAUUUCAUGAUUGAGAUCUCGGGAUUUAAUAUUUAAUAUUUUCAUGUUUAUUUUCUUUUCUUUUGGAGGAGAACUAGAUGCAGCUUGUAAAUGUGUGACUUUACAAGUUUAGCUGAAUAAACAGAAUAUAUCCUCUGUAAGUUGAUGUAUAGAAAAGUGUAUCCUUGCAUACGUUUUGUAUUAUAUAUAGUUAACUCAGUAUAGUUAACAUUUUCCAUCUUUCUCUAGGAGCUUUUCAGAUAUCAUCUACACACAAGUAACAUUCACUUGCUAAAAGCAAGAAAAGUAACACAAGGCAUGACGACAAAAACAUUACUUCCACAUUGUUGCUAGCUGUGAAGUUUGUCAAAGUUGAACAGAAGAAAUAUCCCGCAGUGUCAAAGUUGGCUAGAAGAAAUAGUGUGGCACACGAAGUGGGUUUGUAAAUGAGUGACAACGCCAAUAUUUUUCUCCCAGUGCAACACACGGCCAUAUGUUCUAUAUAAAAAAGAAAAGGAGGAAGUAUGUUCAUGCACUGGAAGCUUUACUGAGUCAUGAUGCACAUUGAGAAGUUAGUGGUGUGUUCUCUUUUCUUUUGAGAUAAUUGUUGAACAAUGGAAAAAGGGCACUGUUGUUGGGGGUGAUACCCAUCAUAUUUCUAAUGGUAUGUACAACCAAAGUUAGGGUGAGACCAGAUGUUAUACUGAAAAAGUCAGGUUAGUGAGCACAAAUUGAUUUUUUUCUCCUAUAUGUUUGACAUGAAACGAUGAUAUCUAAUUGCACUUGUUUUUUAACCAUUUAAACUGAAACCAUUUACCAAAUUUGCUCAUGAAUCUUAUCCCAAUACUUUUGACCACUGAGAUAAUUGUUGAACAAUGGAAAAAGGGCACUGUUGUUGGGGGUGAUACCCAUCAUAUUUCUAAUGGUAUGUACAACCAAAGUUAGGGUGAGACCAGAUGUUAUACUGAAAAAGUCAGGUUAGUGAGCACAAAUUGAUUUUUUUCUCCUAUAUGUUUGACAUGAAACGAUGAUAUCUAAUUGCACUUGUUUUUUAACCAUUUAAACUGAAACCAUUUACCAAAUUUGCUCAUGAAUCUUAUCCCAAUACUUUUGACCACUGAGAUAAUUGUUGAACAAUGGAAAAAGGGCACUGUUGUUGGGGGUGAUACCCAUCAUAUUUCUAAUGGUAUGUACAACCAAAGUUAGGGUGAGACCAGAUGUUAUACUGAAAAAGUCAGGUUAGUGAGCACAAAUUGAUUUUUUUCUCCUAUAUGUUUGACAUGAAACGAUGAUAUCUAAUUGCACUUGUUUUUUAACCAUUUAAACUGAAACCAUUUACCAAAUUUGCUCAUGAAUCUUAUCCCAAUACUUUUGACCACUACUGUACUCCGACUACAAAAGUUGUUCAAACUUGCCAUGUGCCAAAUAACCAAUGGUACAGAGGCCAUGCAACUUGAAACAUCAAGUAAGAACAUGUACUUUUACUUAUUUAGUUUCUUGAGAAAGUUAUGGGAUUUGUUUUGUGAAUAAGAAAGCUAUGGAAUUUACAAACUGGAAAUACUAAUUGUUUGGAAAAAAAUUAACCAAAAUUGUUUGUUCUGCUAUAGUUUUUUGAUUAUUUUUGAAGUUUAAGUGGUAUUUUUUCAACUGUUAGUGGUAUAACUUUACUGAGUCAUGAUGCACAUUGAGAAGUUAGUGGUGUGUUCUCUUUUCUUUUGAGAUAAUUGUUGAACAAUGGAAAAAGGGCACUGUUGUUGGGGGUGAUACCCAUCAUAUUUCUAAUGGUAUGUACAACCAAAGUUAGGGUGA